CUGGGGGGAUGGGAGUGGACAGGGAGGGGUUGAUGGGGGGAAAAGGAGACAUAUAUAUGUAAUACUUUAAACAAUAAAGAAUUU